rnacentral:rRNA from 1 species
GACGAACGCUGGCGGCGUGCCUAAUACAUGCAAGUAGAACGCACAGUUUAUACCGUAGCUUGCUACACCAUAGACUGUGAGUUGCGAACGGGUGAGUAACGCGUAGGUAACCUGCCUGGUAGCGGGGGAUAACUAUUGGAAACGAUAGCUAAUACCGCAUAAUAUUAAUUAUUGCAUGAUAAUUAAUUGAAAGGUGCAAUUGCACCACUACCAGACGGACCUGCGUUGUAUUAGCUAGUAGGUGAGGUAACGGCUCACCUAGGCGACGAUACAUAGCCGAACUGAGAGGGGGGUCGGCCACACUGGGAAGGAGACACGGCCCAUACUCCUACGGGAGGCAGCAGUAGGGAAUCUUCGGCAAGGGACGAAAGUCUGACCGAGCAACGCCGAGUGAGUGAAGAAGGUUGUCGGAUCGUAAAGCUCGGUUGUAAGAGAAGAACGGGUGUGAGAGUGGAAAGUUCACACUGUGACGGUAGCUGACCAGAAAGCGACGGCUAACUACGUG